rnacentral:lncRNA from 1 species
UGAGAGACUGCAAUUUCCCACCCCAGACGCUGCAGACCGGCCUUUUUUAUUUUUACGAAGGUGUAACAUAAAAAUUUGGAGUCUCAUUUUAACUUGUAUUUACUGUACUACUACUGAAGUUGAUCAUUUUUCAUAAACUU